rnacentral:rRNA from 1 species
GACGAACGCUGGCGGCGUGCUUAACACAUGCAAGUCGAACGGAAAGGCCCUGCUUGCAGGGUACUCGAGUGGCGAACGGGUGAGUAACACGUGGGUGAUCUGCCCUGCACUUCGGGAUAAGCCUGGGAAACUGGGUCUAAUACCGGCUAGGAGCCAUUUUUAGUGUGAUGGUUGGAAAGUUUUUUCGGUGUAGGAUGAGCUCGCGGCCUAUCAGCUUGUUGGUGGGGUAAUGGCCUACCAAGGCGGCGACGGGUAGCCGGCCUGAGAGGGUGGACGGCCACAUUGGGACUGAGAGACGGCCCAGACUCCUACGGGAGGCAGCAGUGGGGAAGAUUGCACGAGGGGCGCAAGCCUGAUGCAGCGACGCCGCGGGGGGGAUGACGGCCUUCGGGUUGUAAACUCCUUUCGCUAGGGACGAAGCUUUUUGUGACGGUACCUAGAUAAGAAGCACCGGCUAACUACGUG